rnacentral:rRNA from 1 species
AUGGUAUCUACGAAGAAGCAUUUUUUUUAUCCUCUUGUCUAUCGACUUUUGGAAUUAGUACUGACUCUUCCUGUUGGCACUGCAACCGUUGAGAGAUGCUUCUCUGCAAUGAAGCUUGUGAAGAAUGCUUUACGUAACAAGAUGGGUGAUGAUUAUUUGAGCAAUAGCCUUAUUUGCUUUGUAGAAAAGAAAAUGUUAGAUAAUAUUACUAAUGAGGUGAUAGUUAAACGCUUUCAUGCGAAAAACCGACGUGGGAUGAAACGGAAGGAGGUAAUGUUCUCAAGCUUAUUUUAUCUAUUUAUCAGUAUUUACAUUCUCUCAAUAUUUAAAGAUGUUUCUUUUUCAUGCAGCUUGAAGCUUAGAAAUUUGGGGCGUAUGAAUAAAAAGGAACGACAUAUUGAUUUCUCAAGUUUUUGUGCCUUAAGUGGUUAG